UGCAGGUGAGGAAUGCAGAUGUGCCUUACAGACUAUAGAAGAAACUGAUCCUGAGCAUUUGGGGGAAGUAAAACAGAUCUUGGAAGAUACAGAUCCUACACUGGAGAUGGAACCUUCCAGAGUGUGGAAUGAGGUAGGAUCUCAUGUUUACCCCAUCCCAUCUGUGGAUCCUGGGGGACUACGCUGGGCUGUACUCCUCCAGAGAUGAUCUGCUCGGGCAGUGCCUCAGUGCCGCCAACCAACAACCUUCACCUGAUUCCAGACCACUCCUCGUAUCGAUUUAAAAUUCACACCCAUUUGAAGGUAGAGCCGUGUCACGGAGUUCUGGAAUCGAUUUGAGUAGAAAUGCUGUGGGCCACUCUCAGACCCAACCCACAAAUACCUGUGGCCCAGUCCUGCUUGUGCUG